GAUUUAUAAAGAAGCGGCGAGAGAUCAGGCUCAGUAACCCGCUGGCAACCCUUCAAAAUUGAAGAAGGUGCCAAUUCCUGCCCCGGUAAAUAUCCCGGGAAAUAUAAAUU
rnacentral:ncRNA from 2 species